rnacentral:rRNA from 1 species
GAUGAACGCUGGCGGCGUGCCUAAUACAUGCAAGUCGAGCGAACAGAUGAGGAGCUUGCUCCUCUGACGUUAGCGGCGGACGGGUGAGUAACACGUGGAUAACCUACCUAUAAGACUGGGAUAACUUCGGGAAACCGGAGCUAAUACCGGAUAAUAUAUUGAACCGCAUGGUUCAAUAGUGAAAGACGGUUUUGCUGUCACUUAUAGAUGGAUCCGCGCCGCAUCAGCUAGUUGGUAAGGUAACGGCUUACCAAGGCAACGAUGCGUAGCCGACCUGAGAGGGUGAUCGGCCACACUGGAACUGAGACACGGUCCAGACUCCUACGGGAGGCAGCAGUAGGGAAUCUUCCGCGAUGGGCGAAAGCCUGACGGAGCAACGCCGCGUGAGUGAUGAAGGUCUUCGGAUCGUAAAACUCUGUUAUUAGGGAAGAACAAAUGUGUAAGUAACUAUGCACGUCUUGACGGUACCUAAUCAGAAAGCCACGGCUAACUACGUG